AGAGUUUGAUCAUGGCUCAGAUUGAACGCUGGCGGAAUGCUUUACACAUGCAAGUCGAACGGCAGCAUAGAGAGCUUGCUCUCUGAUGGCGAGUGGCGAACGGGUGAGUAAUAUAUCGGAACGUGCCUAGUAAUGGGGAAUAACUAGCUGAAAGGUUAGCUAAUGCCGCAUACGACCUACGGGUGAAAGCAGGGGAUCUUCGGACCUUGCGUUAUUAGAGCGGCCGAUAUCUGAUUAGCUUGUUGGUGGGGUAAUGGCCUACCAAGGCGACGAUCAGUAGCUGGUCUGAGAGGACGAUCAGCCACACUGGAACUGAGACACGGUCCAGACUCCUACGGGAGGCAGCAGUGGGGAAUUUUGGACAAUGGGGGCAACCCUGAUCCAGCCAUUCCGCGUGAGUGAAGAAGGCCUUCGGGUUGUAAAGCUCUUUCGCAAGAGAAGAAAACUUGCUAUCUAAUAAAUAGUAAGUAUGACGGUAUCUUGACAAGAAGCACCGGCUAACUACGUGCCAGCAGCCGCGGUAAUACGUAGGGUGCAAGCGUUAAUCGGAAUUACUGGGCGUAAAGCGUGCGCAGGCGGUUGUGCAAGACCGAUGUGAAAUCCCCGAGCUUAACUUGGGAAUUGCAUUGGUGACUGCACGGCUAGAGUGUGUCAGAGGGGGGUAGAAUUCCACGUGUAGCAGUGAAAUGCGUAGAGAUUUGGAGGAAUACCAAUGGCGAAGGCAGCCCCCUGGGAUAACACUGACGCUCAUGCACGAAAGCGUGGGGAGCAAACAGGAUUAGAUACCCUGGUAGUCCACGCCCUAAACGAUGUCUACUAGUUGUUGGUGGAGUAAAAUCCAUGAGUAACGCAGCUAACGCGUGAAGUAGACCGCCUGGGGAGUACGGUCGCAAGAUUAAAACUCAAAUGAAUUGACGGGGGCCCGCACAAGCGGUGGAGCAUGUGGUUUAAUUCGACGCAACGCGCAGAACCUUACCAGCCCUUGACAUGUGGAGUUUGGUUAUCAGAGAUGAUUUCCUUCAGUUCGGCUGGCUCCAACACAGGUGCUGCAUGGCUGUCGUCAGCUCGUGUCGUGAGAUGUUGGGUUAAGUCCCGCAACGAGCGCAACCCUUGCCAUUAAUUGCCAUCAUUUAGUUGGGCACUUUAAUGGGACUGCCGGUGACAAACCGGAGGAAGGUGGGGAUGACGUCAAGUCCUCAUGGCCCUUAUGGCCAGGGCUUCACACGUAAUACAAUGGUCGGUACAGAGGGAAGCCAACCCGCGAGGGGGAGCCAAUCUCAGAAAGCCGGUCGUAGUCCGGAUUGUUGUCUGCAACUCGACAGCAUGAAGUCGGAAUCGCUAGUAAUCGCGGAUCAGCAUGUCGCGGUGAAUACGUUCCCGGGCCUUGUACACACCGCCCGUCACACCAUGGGAGUGGGUUGCUCCAGAAGUGGUUAGUCUAACCUUCGGGAGGACGAUCACCACGGAGUGAUUCAUGACUGGGGUGAAGUCGUAACAAGGUAGCCCUAGGGGAACCUGGGGCUG
rnacentral:rRNA from 1 species